rnacentral:lncRNA from 10 species
UUAACAGGAUCAUGAAAGCAUAGCUACUCAGGCCAUUGCUUGGGAAAAAGAAAACAGGAGAAGGAACAAGAUGAUGAUACCGAGAAGAAAACACAGACUGGAAGGAAGGAAAAAGAACAGGGGAGGGAAUUAGAAGGCCUAUUAUGACACCUUUUUCCACUCCCUGAUUCGUGAAAUUUGAAUAAGUCCAAUAUCAACAACAAAAAAAAAAGCAAAAAGAUAUACAAGUAGUCA